ACUCUUACAUCUCACUUGCAUGCUAUGCCAGUGUCUCCAUACUCUUUGAUUAAGAAGACAAUCAACAUACUAUUGUGCCACAUUUUUAAGUGUGUGGAGUACCUCCCACCAGGAGAUCAAUGAAGAAAACUCGCUGGAAGGGGAUGAAACACGUUGAAGAAGAACAGGAUGCUGCUGUUGAAUUCUACUGGCACCAAGAAGUCUUCAAACUUCUUCAACUCUUCGCUGAUCCUUCGUCUGGGCUUCAAACUAGAAACACCAUGUCUUGGGGUCUUGAAAAAGGUUUGAAACCAGCAACCAAGUCUUAAGACUCAAAGUAGAGGUGUCAGCAAAUAGAAAUAGGGCAGCAAGUAAUCCUAGUAGGACUAGGAAACCUUGGGCGGCUAGAUAAGGGAUUCUCCUUGCUCCUUGAUGAUGGCGGCUAGGGUUUUUUCACCCUAAGGUGUGGCAACC
rnacentral:lncRNA from 1 species